CCUACGUGAGGCAGCAGUGGGGAAUAUUGGACAAUGGGGGGAACCCUGAUCCAGCGACGCCGCGUGAGUGAAGAAGUAUUUCGGUAUGUAAAGCUCUAUCAGCAGGGAAGAAAGAAAUGACGGUACCUGACUAAGAAGCCCCGGCUAACUACGUGCCAGCAGCCGCGGUAAUACGUAGGGGGCAAGCGUUAUCCGGAUUUACUGGGUGUAAAGGGAGCGUAGACGGCGAUGCAAGUCUGAAGUGAAAGGCGGGGGCCCAACCCCCGGACUGCUUUGGAAACUGUAUGGCUGGAGUGCAGGAGAGGUAAGUGGAAUUCCUAGUGUAGCGGUGAAAUGCGUAGAUAGUAGGAGGAACACCAGUGGCGAAGGCGGCUUACUGGACUGUAACUGACGUUGAGGCUCGAAAGCGUGGGGAGCAAACAGGAUUAGAUACCCCUGUAGUC
rnacentral:rRNA from 1 species